rnacentral:lncRNA from 1 species
GGGUGAAGGGAAAUGCCACAGACAUCCAUGGUCUUGGAUGCUCAACAGAAGUGCUUGCCUUGGUGAUCCAAAAAAGGCAGGAUCCGGCCGGGGGCAAGGUGAUUAUUCUGUCUGAUGAGGAGAAUAAGAGCCAGUUUGUGGUAUUGACAGAAGAAUGAAAGUAAAGUCUUGAAAGAUGGGAAGAUCAGGAGCAGUCUGGAGUCAUGGUAUAUGAAUGAACUAGUGAGAGUGGGCACAAAGUCUGAAGAUCUUUGUAGUGCAGCUAAUGUCUAAGGGAGAAUAUACCUACCCUAGAAGAGACAUUAAACAACCAGGUAAUUGGAGUAGACAAAGUGUCAGCCAGUCAAUAUCAGCCAUACUCUGUCAUCAGAGACUUCAGUGUUUGGACAAUAAGCACAUGAACAGAUUCAACCAAUCUACAAAGGCCAAAAAUAUUUUCACAGGCCCCCAAAAGAUGAACUCCAAUCUGCUGCCCCUAAACGCAUUCUCCACUGUCUGGAAGAUGUGCAAAGGCAACGGCACAGCGUUCUCCAUCUCAAAUCCUUCAAAGUGCUGUCAGAAUAAAAGAAUCCCCACCAAAAGCCCCAGGGAAAUCUAUCUGUCUGUAUGGUAUGGUAAUGA